UGUAAUCACUCCCUUGGUAAGGGAGAGGCCACGAGUUCAAAUCUCGUCAAAG
rnacentral:tRNA from 2 species